UUGAACGCUGGCGGCAUGCUUUACACAUGCAAGUCGAACGGCAGCGGGGGCUUCGGCCUGCCGGCGAGUGGCGAACGGGUGAGUAAUAUAUCGGAACGUACCCUGUCGUGGGGGAUAACACAUCGAAAGAUGUGCUAAUACCGCAUACGACCUGAGGGUGAAAGCGGGGGAUCGCAAGACCUCGCGCGAUAGGAGCGGCCGAUAUCGGAUUAGCUAGUUGGUGAGGUAAAGGCUCACCAAGGCGACGAUCCGUAGCUGGUCUGAGAGGACGACCAGCCACACUGGAACUGAGACACGGUCCAGACUCCUACGGGAGGCAGCAGUGGGGAAUUUUGGACAAUGGGGGAAACCCUGAUCCAGCCAUUCCGCGUGAGUGAAGAAGGCCUUCGGGUUGUAAAGCUCUUUCAGCCGGAACGAAACGGUACGCUCUAACAUAGCGUGCUAAUGACGGUACCGGCAGAAGAAGCACCGGCUAACUACGU
rnacentral:rRNA from 1 species